UGAGUCUGUAGAAUCUCACUCAAUUCCCUCUGAUAUAGAAGUUGAAGAAGAACAAAUUGAAAAAGAAGUAGAGCCUAAACGGGCUAGAGGUCCUACAAAAAUGUUAGAUGUAUGGAAAAUGGAAGAUGGUGAUUUAAUAAUCGUUAAUUUGGACAAAUAUGGUCGAUCCAUUGGUGAGGAAGGGACAACUCUAACUCGUUUCAUUGGUAGCGUAGCUAGAAGAGUAAAUUUGAGUUUGUUCCUCCAAUAAAUGACUUAACAAGAGAAAUGUUAAAAUCUGAGCUGAAUGAGAAAUGGAGGCAAUGGAAAGGUGAUCUAAAGUGAAU